rnacentral:rRNA from 1 species
GUAGUCAUAUGCUUGUCUCAAAGAUUAAGCCAUGCAUGUCUAAGUAUAAAUAAAUUUAUAUCGUGAAACUGCGAAUGGCUCAUUAAAUCAGUUAUGAUCUACGUGACAUAUUCUUUACUACUUGGAUAACCGUGGUAAUUCUAGUGCUAAUACAUGCAAAAAAGCCUCGACUUACGAAGGGGUGCACUUAUUAGAUAAAGCCAACGCUGGGUAAAACCAGUUUUCCUUGGUGAUUCAUAAUAAUUUAGCGGAUCGCAUGGCCUUGUGCUAGCGACGGUCCACUCGAUUUUCUGCCCUAUCAUGGUUGAGAUUGUAAGAUAGAGGCUUACAAUACCUACAACGGGUAACGGGGA